rnacentral:rRNA from 1 species
CCUACGGGUGGCAGCAGUGAGGAAUAUUGGUCAAUGGGCGCGAGCCUGAACCAGCCAAGUCGCGUGAGGGAUGAAGGUUCUAUGGAUCGUAAACCUCUUUUAUAAGGGAAUAAAGUGUGGGACGUGGCCUAUUUUGUAUGUACCUUAUGAAUAAGGAUCGGCUAACUCCGUGCCAGCGGCCGCGGUAAUACGGAGGGUCCGAGCGUUAUUCGGAUUUAUUGGGGUUAAAGGGUGCGUAGGCGGGCUUUUAAGUCAGCGGUGAAAAUCUGUGGAUCAAACAUAGAAUUGCCGUUGAAACUGGGGGGCUUGAGUAUGUUUGAGGCAGGCGGAAUGCGUGGUGUAGCGGUGAAAUGCUUAGAUAUCACGCAGAACCCCGAUUGCGAAGGCAGCCUGCCGAGCCAUGACUGACGCUGAUGCACGAAAGCGUGGGGAUCAAACAGGAUUAGAUACCCCAGUAGUC